AGAGAACCCCAGGCCUGGCCCUGUGAGUGUCCUCGGCCCUCUGUGAAAUCAAUGGCUUCCUAAUUGGGCCACAGCUGUGGCCAAGGGGCAGGAAGGUUCUCAACCUGCAUGGAAAGAGCCAUUGUAAUCUGGACGACCAGCAUCAAAUGGGGACCCCUCCCCCUAGGGAGCAACAGAAUUGGCAGCCAUUUCAAGGCUUCUACCCCUCAGGACAAAACCAAUGGCCAGGGCACCAGGACAGAGACUGCACAUCCCCUCAUUCUUAUUGUUAUCUUGUUAAUUGUUGACUGUUAACUAUCCUGUACCCACUUAUGUAAAAGAAGUAUGUGUCAGGGACAAUAGGGAGUGAA